AUUGAACGCUGGCGGCAGGCUUAACACAUGCAAGUCGAGCGGGGUGAUGGUGCUUGCACUAUCACUUAGCGGCGGACGGGUGAGUAAUGCUUAGGAAUCUGCCUAUUAGUGGGGGACAACAUCUCGAAAGGGAUGCUAAUACCGCAUACGUCCUACGGGAGAAAGCAGGGGAUCACUGGUGACCUUGCGCUAAUAGAUGAGCCUAAGUCGGAUUAGCUAGUUGGUGGGGUAAAGGCCUACCAAGGCGACGAUCUGUAGCGGGUCUGGGAGGAUGAUCCGCCACACUGGGACUGGGCCACGGCCCAGACGCCUACGGGAGGCAGCAGUGGGGAAUAUUGGACAAUGGGGGGAACCCUUAGCCAGCCAUGCCGCGUGUGUGAAGAAGGCCUUAUGGUUGUAAAGCACUUUAAGCGAGGAGGAGGCUCUUUUGGUUAAUACCCAAGAUGAGUGGACGUUACUCGCAGAAUAAGCACCGGCUAACUCUGUGCCAGCCGCCGCGGUAA
rnacentral:rRNA from 1 species